AACGAACGCUGGCGGCAUGCUUUACACAUGCAAGUCGAACGGUAACAGGCCGCAAGGUGCUGACGAGUGGCGAACGGGUGAGUAAUGCAUCGGAACGUGCCCAGUCGUGGGGGAUAACGCAGCGAAAGCUGUGCUAAUACCGCACACGAUCUAUGGAUGAAAGCGGGGGACCGUAAGGCCUCGCGCGAUUGGAGCGGCCGAUGUCAGAUUAGGUAGUUGGUGGGGUAAAGGCUCACCAAGCCAACGAUCUGUAGCUGGUCUGAGAGGACGACCAGCCACACUGGGACUGAGACACGGCCCAGACUCCUACGGGAGGCAGCAGUGGGGAAUUUUGGACAAUGGGCGCAAGCCUGAUCCAGCAAUGCCGCGUGCAGGAAGAAGGCCUUCGGGUUGUAAACUGCUUUUGUACGGAACGAAAAGGUUUGGGUUAAUACCCUGGGCCGAUGACGGUACCGUAAGAAUAAGCACCGGCUAACUACGUGCCAGCCGCCGCCGUAACAC
rnacentral:rRNA from 1 species